CAGAAGCUGAGAAUAACCCCAAUAGUCUCUAAGCAAAUCAGGGGAGCUCUGAAACGGCGCCCCCUGCAUCACCGUCGGAGAAUAACCAGUUACUGCUGGAACAUCAACGGAGCCCGAGAGUGAGGUGGCCGGAAAAUCGGGAAGGUGAGGAGGUCGAACCGCAGUAACGUUUUCGGGGAAGUUGAGUUUGGCUCUGUUACCUCUAAACCUCAAUGCGGCCUCAUCGUAGGCUCUGGCAGCAGCCUCGGCGGUGUCGAAGGUGCCAAGCCACACUCUCGCCGCUUUGUGAGGAUCGCGAAUCUCCGCCGCCCAUUUCCCCCACGGCCUCUGCCUCACCCCUCUGUAUCUCCUCCUCCUCUCGCCGCUUUCUUCCUGUGACGCAGUCUGUGACGAACCACCCUCACCCCCACUCGCCGCAGAAGUAGUGUCAUCUUCACGCGCUCUUUUCUGCCCAACCGAGCCCGAGCCCAAAAGAGGAGGCCCGGGAGAAGAAGACAAACCUGGAGAAGGCGCAUGCAUAAAACGUGGCGCCAUGGGAAAACCACUUGCCGGGACCCACUCCGUGUUGGUUUGGGCAGAGGAAGAGGGUGACAGCACAUGGGUCGGAACCGAACCUACAGUACCCCCUUGCACUUGCACAUCCCUUGGGGUGAAAGGGUCUUCCGGGUCUUCUUGGCCCGAAGCGGAACCUGAAGCUGAAGGUCUCUGGU
rnacentral:lncRNA from 1 species